UGAUGAAAGUGAAGUGGUAAGAUUUAAUCCCCUUGUGUUCUUUUGUCCCCAUUUCCUCACAUCUCAUAACAGCCUGAUAAAUGAAUGUUUAGGAGCUGGACCCAAAGCUUGACCGGGAUUUCUUCAGGACGCUCUCGCUACUGAAAAAGAAAGAUGCAAAGAUCUAUCAGAAGGAUUCCAAGUUCUACACAAAGGAUUGUAUGUAAAGAGGCCUCAUUUUAUGACUAAUACUGUGAUCAAUGACAUUAUGAGACCAGAUUUUUUAAGUAUGAACUGUGAAUUGCUCUUUAUCGAGCAUCAAGAUCUGGCAGUGAUGAGCAGCCAUUCACUUCAAAAAAGUCAGAGAAACCCAUGUUCAUGAAGGACUAUGAGCGAAAAAAUCAUCCUGGAGAGUGGAGGAUAAGAAACCAUGUGUGCUGUGGCCAAAUUUAUGCUCUGUCUCUCUAUAGUAACAUUCUGGAACCAUUAUUCUACAAACAGUGUCUAAAAAGAAGAAAAAGAAGAAGAGAGAGGAGAGGACAAAGACCAAAGAUGACGCUCCUCUAAUGGGAAAGAAACUAAGGAAAUCUCACUUUGCAGAGAUUCUAACCAAAAGGAAGCCAGUUUUUGAUCCAAGUCGGAAAGGGAUGAACUUUGUGAGGUGAAGACCUUUAAGAUUAAAGCUCGGAACGUCAAGAAGAAACAGCAAGUGUUCACAUCUCUGUAUAAUGAGAACGACGGUCAAACAGGGCCGAUGGACGCCAAGGGGAAGAUGGGCAAGAAGAGGAGGGAUCGCCUGAAGAGGUCAGAGGCCAUGAAAGAGAAGGAAGAUCUCACAGAGGAGAAAUCCGAAAGCACUCCAGCAGACAGCAUGGACAAAACAGAGGGCCAGGACCUGAGAGAAGCCACUGCGAUGGAUGAAGGAGAGGAUGAGGAGGAGUUCCUGUUUCCUAAGAAGAUGAAAGUGGAAAAGACUCCAGAAACCCAGAAAGAGGACUUGCCCAAUCAAAGGACUGAAAAACCUAAAUGGCCGAAAAAG